UUUGGCCCACUCCUCCAUAUAGACCUUGUCCAGAUCAUUCAGGUUUCAGGGCUGUCGCUGGGCAAUACGGACUUUCAGCUCCCUCCAAAGAUUUUCUAUUGGGUUCAGGUCUGGAGACUGGCUAGGCCACUCCAGGACCUUGAGAUGCUUCUUACGGAGCCACUCCUUAGUUGCCCUGGCUGUGUGUUUCGGGUCAUUGUCAUGCUGGAAGACCCAGCCACGACCUAUCUUCAAUGCUCUUACUGAGGGAAGGAGGUUGUUGGCCAAGAUCUCGUGAUACAUGGCCCCAUCCAUCCUCCCCUCAAUAUGGUGCAGUCGUUCUGUCCCCUUUGCAGAAAAGCAUCCCCAAAGAAUGAUGUUUCCACCUCCAUGCUUCACAGUUGGGAUGGUGUUCUUGGGGUUGUACUCAUCCUUCUUCUUCCUCCAAACAUGGCGAGUGGAGUUUAGACCAAAAAGCUCUAUUUUUGUCUCAUCAGACCACAUGACCUUCUCCCAUUCCUCCUCUGGAUCAUCCAGAUGGUCAUUGGCAAACUUCAGACGGGCCUGGACAUGCGCUGGCUUGAGCAGGGGGACCGUGCGUGCGCUGCAGGACUUUAACCCAUGACUGCGUGGUGAAUGGUUUUCUUUGAGACGGUGGUCCCAGCUCUCUUCAGGUCAUUGACCAGGUCCUGCCGUGUAGUUCUGGGCUGAUCCCUCACCUUCCUCCUUAUCUUGAGAUCUUUGUACUAGUCCAGUUAGAAUCAAAGGAGGUGGUCAGUCCUGUUAGAAUCAAAGGAGGUGGUCAGUCCUGUUAGAAUCAGAGCAGGUGGUCAGUCCAGUUAGAAUCAAAGGAGGAGGUCAGUCCUGUUAGAAUCAGAGCAGGUGGUCAGUCCUGUUAGAAUCAAAGGAGGAGGUCAGUCCUGUUAGAAUCAGAGCAGGUGGUCAGUCCUGUUAGAAUCAAAGGAGGAGGUCAGUCCUGUUAGAAUCAAAGGAGGUGGUCAGUCCUGUUAGAAUCAGAGCAGGUGGUCAGUCCAGUUAGAAUCAAAGGAGGAGGUCAGUCCUGUUAGAAUCAGAGCAGGUGGUCAGUCCUGUUAGAAUCAAAGGAGGAGGUCAGUCCUGUUAGAAUCAGAGCAGGUGGUCAGUCCUGUUAGAAUCAGAGCAGGUGGUCAGUCCUGUUAGAAUCAAAGGAGGAGGUCAGUCCUGUUAGAAUCAGAGCAGGUGGUCAGUCCUGUUAGAAUCAGAGCAGGUGGUCAGUCCAGUUAGAAUCAAAGGAGGAGGUCAGUCCUGUUAGAAUCAGAGCAGGUGGUCAGUCCUGUUAGAAUCAAAGGAGGAGGUCAGUCCUGUUAGAAUCAGAGCAGGUGGUCAGUCCUGUUAGAAUCAGAGCAGGUGGUCAGUCCUGUUAGAAUCAAAGGAGGAGGUCAGUCCUGUUAGAAUCAGAGCAGGUGGUCAGUCCUGUUAGAAUCAGAGCAGGUGGUCAGUCCUGUUAGAAUCAAAGGAGGAGGUCAGUCCUGUUAGAAUCAGAGCAGGUGGUCAGUCCUGUUAGAAUCAGAACAGCUGGUCAGUCCUGUUAGAAUCAGAACAGGUGGUCAGUCCUGUUAGAAUCAGAACAGGUGGUCAGUCCUGUUAGAAUCAGAGCAGGUGGUCAGUCCUGUUAGAAUCAGAACAGGUGGUCAGUCCUGUUAGAAUCAGAACAGGUGGUCAGUCCUGUUAGAAUCAAAGGAGGAGGUCAGUCCUGUUAGAAUCAGAGCAGGUGGUCAGUCCUGUUAGAAUCAGAGCAGGUGGUCAGUCCUGUUAGAAUCAGAGCAGGUGGUCAGUCCUGUUAGAAUCAGAGCAGGUGGUCAGUCCUGUUAGAAUCAGAGCAGGUGGUCAGUCCUGUUAGAAUCAGAGCAGAUGGUCAGUCCUGUUAGAAUCAGAGCAGGUGGUCAGUCCUGUUAGAAUCAGAGCAGGUGGUCAGUCCUGUUAGAAUCAGAGCAGGUGGUUAGUCCUGUUAGAAUCAGAACAGGUGGUCAGUCCUGUUAGAAUCAGAGCAGGUGGUCAGUCCUGUUAGAAUCAGAGCAGGUGGUCAGUCCUGUUAGAAUCAGAACAGGUGGUCAGUCCAUUUAUAAUAUAAUAUAAUAUAUGCAUAAGUCCAUUUCAAGUGUUCUGAAAGUUGCAAAAGAAUAAAGACAUUUAAAAUGUCAUAUUAUGUCUAUACAGUGGGGCAAAAAAGUAUUUAGUCAGCCACCGAUUGUGCAAGUUCUCCCACUUAAAAAGAUGAGAGAGGCCUGUCAUUUUCAUCAUAGGUACACUUCAACUAUGACAGACACAAUGAGAAAACAAAAUCCAGAAAAUCACAUUGUAGGAUUUUUUUAUGAAUUUAUUUGCAAAUUAUGUUGGAAAAUAAGUGGUGGCUGACUAAAUACUUAUUUGUAUACAGUGUUUUAACGAUGUGCAAAUAGUUAAAUUACAAAAGGGAAAAUAAAUAAAUAUAAAUAUGGGUUUUAUUUAAAUUGGUGUUUGUUCUUCACUGGUUGACCUUUUCUUGUGGCAACAGGUCACAAAUAUUGCUGCUGUGAUGGCACACUGUGGUAUUACACCCAGUAGAUAUAGGAGUUGGAUUUGUUUUCUAAUUCUUUGUGGAUCUGUGUCAUCUGAGGGAAAUAUGUCUCUCUAAUAUGGUCAUACAUUGGACAGGAGGUUAGGAAGUGCAGCUCAGUUUCCACCUCAUUUUGUGGGCAGUGAGCACAUAGCCUGUCUUCUCUUGUGAGCCAUGUCUGCCUACGGCGGCCUUUCUCAAUAGCAAGGCUAUGCUCACUGAGUCUGUACAUAGUCAAAGCUUUCCUUAAUUUUGGAUCAGUCACAGUGGUCAGGUAUUCUGCCGCUGUGUACUCUCUGUGUAGGGCCAAAUAGCAUUCUAGUUUGCUCUGUUUUUUUGUUAAUUCUUUCCAAUGUGUCAAGUAAUUAUCUUUUUGUUUUCUCAUGAUUUGGGUCUAAUUGUGCUGCUGUCAUGGGGCUCUGUAGGGUGUGUUUGUGUUUGUGAACAGAGCCCCAGAACCAGCUUGCUUAGGGGACUCUUCUCCAGGUUCAACUCUUUAUAGGUGAUGGCUAUGUUAUGGAAGGUUUGGGAAUCGCUUCCUUUUAGGUGGUUGUAGAAUUUAACGUCUCUUUUCUGGAUUGUGAUAGUUAGUGGGUAUCGGCCUAAUUCUGCUCUGCAUUAUUUGGUGUUCUACGUUGUACACGGAGGAUAUUUUAGCAGAAUUCUGCAUGCAGAGUCUCAAGUUGGUGUUUGUCCCAUUUUGUGAAUUCUUGGUUGGUGAGCGGACCCCAGAACUCACAACCAUAAAGGGCAAUGGGCUCUAUGACUGAUUUUAGUAUUUUUAGCCAGAUCCUAAUUGGUAUGUUGAAUUUUAUGUUCCUUUUGAUGGCAUAGAAGGCCCUCCGUUCACAGCUUUGUAGAAGAACACCAUUAUUUAGGUCUUACUGAGAUCUCACCAUCUCUCUCUUUCUCUCUCUCUCUAUCACCAUCUCGCUCUCUCUAUCACCCUCUCUCUUUCCUGUCUGUUGAGUCAAUGUGUCUACCACUCUGCAGUGCUGACCCAGAUCCCUCAGUCCAAGCAGAAGGUCGU